AUGCCUGUAAUCCCAGCUACUUGGGAAGCUGAGGCAGGAGAAUCACUUGAAACUGGGAGACUGGUUGCGGUAAGCCAAGAUCACGCAAUUGCACUCCAAACUGGACAACUAGAAAAAAACUCUGCUUGGAAAAAAAAACAGGUCAGAAAGGGAGACCAGAGGGCAGCUAUGGAAUCACAGUCUCCACUUCAGCUUCUCGGUGAGCUGAACGAUGAUGGAAGGUGCUAUUAUGCAAUUUCAAAGGUGAAACAUCUGGAGCAGUGCUGCUGGUUCUGAAAAUGUUGACAUGAAAAUUGAGUAGCUGGAACAACAGUCAAAUAUUUUAAGUGCUUCUUGCCUCACUUGAAGUGGAUGAAUAAUUGCAUGAUAUGUCUAUGUAUUAGAAGAGACAAGGUGUUUUCAUGGGUCUGCUUUCUGCAUCUCUGUUUUCUUCUAGUUUUUGUCUGAGUAAUGAUGAUCUGAGUGAAGCACCCACAUACCCUCUUGGUAAACAUAGUUAUUAACUUCCUAUUUCCAAGGUAAUAAAACACUGUAAUACCACCUUUCUUAAGCCCAGAUAGAAAAUUGUUGUAUGUCCCAAACCUGAUUGUAUGCCACAAAUGUAUGUGUUUUUAAUGUGCUGUAUUCAAGCACUUUGAUGUGGUGCCAUAGCAUAUAAACAGAAAAUGCAGAGAUGCAACACUCUUGUGAAUCAGAUAUGCCUAAUUUUGUUAUUGAGAUCAUUCAUUUUUACUCUGCCACCUUGUUAGUCUAGCAAAAUGAGAUUAAUCUUUGCUAGACUUGGUUGAAGUGUUGCAAAAGUUCAAGAUGAUAUAAAUGCAAGUUGAGUGGCUUAAUUACUUUUGAGAGGCUACAAAGUUUCUGUUUAGAUCAAUCACUUUCUAGGGAUGCUUCUGGAAACAUGACAGGGUAUGGAGAUUACUCACAAUUUUGCUGCUACCAGUUUCAUUGCUACCUGACGAAGACAUAUUAAAAAAUUUAAAUUUCUUUGCACUUCAGUAAUCUGUUUGUAUCCAGAGUCAACAUUAUUUUUCAUAUUGGUAUAAUUAAC
rnacentral:lncRNA from 1 species